rnacentral:rRNA from 1 species
GACGAACGCUGGCGGCGUGCUUAACACAUGCAUGUCGAACGGAAAGGCCCUGCUUUUGUGGGGUGCUCGAGUGGCGAACGGGUGAGUAACACGUGAGUAACCUGCCCUUGACUUUGGGAUAACUUCAGGAAACUGGGGCUAAUACCGGAUAGGAGCUCCUGCUGCAUGGUGGGGGUUGGAAAGUUUCGGCGGUUGGGGAUGGACUCGCGGCUUAUCAGCUUGUUGGUGGGGUAGUGGCUUACCAAGGCUUUGACGGGUAGCCGGCCUGAGAGGGUGACCGGCCACAUUGGGACUGAGAUACGGCCCAGACUCCUACGGGAGGCAGCAGUGGGGAAUAUUGCACAGUGGGCGGAAGCCUGAUGCAGCAACGCCGCGUGCGGGAUGACGGCCUUCGGGUUGUAAACCGCUUUCGCCUGUGACGAAGCGUGAGUGACGGUAAUGGGUAAAGAAGCACCGGCUAACUACGUG